GACGAACGCUGGCGGCGUGCUUAACACAUGCAAGUCGAACGGCAAGGCCCUGCUUUUGUGGGGUGCUCGAGUGGCGAACGGGUGAGUAACACGUGAGUAACCUGCCCUUGACUUUGGGAUAACUUCAGGAAACUGGGGCUAAUACCGGAUAGGAGCUCCUGCUGCAUGGUGGGGGUUGGAAAGUUUCGGCGGUUGGGGAUGGAUUCGCGGCUUAUCAGCUUGUUGGUGGGGUAGUGGCUUACCAAGGCUUUGACGGGUAGCCGGCCUGAGAGGGUGACCGGCCACAUUGGGACUGAGAGACGGCGCAGACUCCUACGGGAGGCAGCAGUGGGGAAUAUUGCACAAUGGGCGGAAGCCUGAUGCAGCAACGCCGCGUGCGGGAUGACGGCCUUCGGGUUGUAAACCGCUUUCGCCUGUGACGAAGCGUGAGUGACGGUAAUGGGUAAAGAAGCACCGGCUAACUACGUG
rnacentral:rRNA from 1 species